rnacentral:rRNA from 1 species
GACGAACGCUGGCGGCGUGCCUAAUACAUGCAAGUAGAACGCUGAAGGAGGAGCUUGCUUCUCUGGAUGAGUUGCGAACGGGUGAGUAACGCGUAGGUAACCUGCCUGGUAGCGGGGGAUAACUAUUGGAAACGAUAGCUAAUACCGCAUAAGAGUAGAUGUCGCAUGACAUUUGCUUAAAAGGUGCAAUUGCAUCACUACCAGAUGGACCUGCGUUGUAUUAGCUAGUUGGUGAGGUAACGGCUCACCAAGGCAACGAUACAUAGCCGACCUGAGAGGGUGAUCGGCCACACUGGGACUGAGACACGGCCCAGACUCCUACGGGAGGCAGCAGUAGGGAAUCGUCGGCAAUGGACGGAAGUCUGACCGAGCAACGCCGCGUGAGUGAAGAAGGUUUUCGGAUCGUAAAGCUCUGUUGUAAGAGAAGAACGAGGGUGAGAGUGGAAAGUUCACACUGUGACGGUAUCCUACCAGAAAGGGACGGCUAACUACGUG